rnacentral:rRNA from 1 species
UUGAACGCUGGCGGUAGGCCUAACACAUGCAAGUCGAACGGCAGCACAGGAGAGCUUGCUCUCUGGGUGGCGAGUGGCGGACGGGUGAGGAAUACAUCGGAAUCUACUUUUUCGUGGGGGAUAACGUAGGGAAACUUACGCUAAUACCGCAUACGACCUACGGGUGAAAGCAGGGGACCUUCGGGCCUUGCGCGAUUGAAUGAGCCGAUGUCGGAUUAGCUAGUUGGCGGGGUAAAGGCCCACCAAGGCGACGAUCCGUAGCUGGUCUGAGAGGAUGAUCAGCCACACUGGAACUAAGACACGGUCCAGACUCCUACGGGAGGCAGCAGUGGGGAAUAUUGGACAAUGGGCGCAAGCCUGAUCCAGCCAUACCGCGUGGGUGAAGAAGGCCUUCGGGUUGUAAAGCCCUUUUGUUGGGAAAGAAAUCCAGCCGGUUAAUACCUGGUUGGGAUGACGGUACCCAAAGAAUAAGCACCGGCUAACUUCGUGCCAGCCGCCGCAGUAA